rnacentral:rRNA from 4 species
CUGGAGGUAUCAGAAGUGCGAAUGCUGACAUAAGUAACGAUAAAGCGGGUGAAAAGCCCGCUCGCCGGAAGACCAAGGGUUCCUGUCCAACGUUAAUCGGGGCAGGGUGAGUCGACCCCUAAGGCGAGGCCGAAAGGCGUAGUCGAUGGGAAACGGGUUAAUAUUCCCGUACUUGGUGUUACUGCGAAGGGGGGACGGAGAAGGCUAUGUUGGCCGGGCGACGGUUGUCCCGGUUUAAGCGUGUAGGUGUGUGUUCCAGGUAAAUCCGGUUCACUUUAACACUGAGGCGUGAUGACGAGGCACUACGGUGCUGAAGUAACAAAUGCCCUGCUUCCAGGAAAAGCCUCUAAGCAUCAGGUAACAUCAAAUCGUACCCCAAACCGACACAGGUGGUCAGGUAGAGAAUACCAAGGCGCUUGAGAGAACUCGGGUGAAGGAACUAGGCAAAAUGGUGCCGUAACUUCGGGAGAAGGCACGCUGACAC